rnacentral:rRNA from 1 species
CGAGAGCCUGACGGAGCAACGCCGCGUGAGGGAGGAAGGCCUGUGGGUUGUAAACCUCUUUUCUCAGGGAAGAAGUUCUGACGGUACCUGAGGAAUCAGCAUCGGCUAACUCCGUGCCAGCAGCCGCGGUAAUACGGAGGAUGCAAGCGUUAUCCGGAUUUAUUGGGCGUAAAGCGUCCGCAGGCGGCUAAUCAAGUCUGCUGUUAAAGGCCGAGGCUUAACUUCGGUUGAGCAGUGGAAACUGAUUAGCUAGAGUGCGAUAGGGGUAGAGGGAAUUCCCAGUGUAGCGGUGAAAUGCGUAGAUAUUGGGAAGAACACCAGUGGCGAAGGCGCUCUACUGGGCCACAACUGACGCUGAGGGACGAAAGCUAGGGGAGCG